rnacentral:rRNA from 1 species
AGCGAACGCUGGCGGCAGGCCUAACACAUGCAAGUCGAACGGAUCCUUCGGGAUUAGUGGCGGACGGGUGAGUAACACGUGGGAACGUGCCCUUUGGUUCGGAACAACUCAGGGAAACUUGAGCUAAUACCGGAUGUGCCCUUCGGGGGAAAGGAUUUAUCGCCAUUGGAGCGGCCCGCGUCUGAUUAGCUAGUUGGUGGGGUAAAGGCCCACCAAGGCGACGAUCAGUAGCUGGUCUGAGAGGAUGAUCAGCCACAUUGGGACUGAGACACGGCCCAAACUCCUACGGGAGGCAGCAGUGGGGAAUCUUGCGCAAUGGGCGAAAGCCUGACGCAGCCAUGCCGCGUGAAUGAUGAAGGUCUUAGGAUUGUAAAUUCUUUCACCGGGACGAUAAUGACGGUACCCGGAGAAGAAGCCCCGGCUAACUUCGU